rnacentral:rRNA from 1 species
GUGGGGAAUCUUAGACAAUGGGCGCAAGCCUGAUCUAGCCAUGCCGCGUGAGCGAUGAUGGCCUUAGGGUUGUAAAGCUCUUUCGUGGGGGAAGAUAAUGACUGUACCCCAAGAAGAAGCCCCGGCUAACUCCGUGCCAGCAGCCGCGGUAAUACGGAGGGGGCUAGCGUUGUUCGGAAUUACUGGGCGUAAAGCGCACGUAGGCGGACUGGAAAGUCAGGGGUGAAAUCCAGGGGCUCAACCCCGGAACUGCCUGUGGAACUCCCAGUCUUGAGUUCGAGUGAGGUAAGUGGAAUUCCGAGUGUAGGGGUGAAAUUCGUAGAUAUUCGGAGGAAGACCAGUGGCGAAGGCGGCUCACUGGCUCGAUACUGACGCUGAGGUGCGAAAGCAUGGGGAGCAAACAGGAUUAGAUACCCUAGUAGUCC